CUAUGGCCAUGGGGAGGAGGAGACACCAAGCUGGAGGACAUGGGGACUGAGCUAUGGCCAUGGGGAGGAGGAGACACCAAGCUGGAGGACAUGGGGACUGAGCUAUGGCCACGGGGAGGAGGUGGCACCAAGCUGGAGGACAUGGGGACUGAGCUAUGGCCAUGGGGAGGAGGUGGCACCAAGCUGGAGGACAUGGGGACUGAGCUAUGGCCACAGGGAGGAAGUGGCACCGAGCUGGAGGACCACGGACCGAGCCAUGGGCAAGGGGACAAGGUGGCACCAAGGUGAGGGACAUGGGGACUGAGCUAUGGCCACAGGGAGGAGGUGGCACCAAGGUGGGGGACACAGGGACUGAGCUAUGGCCAUGGGGAGGAGGUGGCAUGGAGCUGGAGGACAUGGGGACUGAGCCAUGGACAUGGGGACAAGGUGCCACCAAGCCUUGGGGACACAAGGACUGUGCCAGGGACAUGGGGACAAGGUGACACCAGGAUGGGGGACAGACGGACUGGACCACAAGGAUGAGGUGCCACCAAGCCAUGGGGACACCCAGGUGGCAUCACGGGCAAGGGGACGAGGUGACACCAAGCUGGAGGAGACAUGGACUGAGCUGGGGACAUGGGGACAAGGUGCCACCAAGCCUUGGGGACACUCGGUCUGUGCCAGGGACAUGGGGACAAGGUGCCACCAAGAUGGAGACAUGGACUGAGCUGUGGACAUGGGGACGAGGUGCCACCAAGCCUAGGGGACAUCCAGAUGGCACCAUGGGUGAGGGGAGGAGGUGACACCAAGCCUUGGGGACACAAGGUCUGUGCCAGGGCCAUGGGGACGAGGUGCCACCGAGAUGGAGGAGGCAAGAGCUUCAGCCAAAACUCCCACCUGGUGUGGGACAUGGGGACUGAGCCACCCAGGUGGCACCGUGGACAUGGGGACAAGGUGCCACCAAACCUUGGGGACACUCGGUCUGUGCCAGGGCCAUGGGGACGAGGUGCCACCGAGCUGGAGGAGACAUGGGAUGAGGUGCCACCAAGCCUUGGGGACACCCAGGUGGCACCGUGGACAUGGGGACAAGGUGCCACCAAACCUUGGGGACACUCGGUCUGUGCCAGGGCCAUGGGGAUGAGGUGCCACCAAGCCUUGGGGACACCCAGGUGGCACCGUGGGCAUGGGGAGAAGGUGCCACCAAACCUUGGGGACAUCCAGAUGGCACCGUGGGCGAGGGGAGGAGGUGCCACCAAGCCUUGGGGACAUCCAGAUGCUAGGGGAGGAGGUGCCACCAAGCCUUGGGGACACAUGGACUGUGCCAGGGACAUGGGGAUGAGGUGCCACCAAGCCAUGGGGACAUCCAGGUGGCACCGUGGGUGAGGGGACGAGGUGCCACCACCCCAUGGGGACACCCAGAUGGCACCGUGGACAUGGGGAGGAG
rnacentral:lncRNA from 1 species